rnacentral:lncRNA from 1 species
CGAGCAGCAGAGGUGAUGGUGCAGCACGUGGAGAACCUGAAGCGGCACCAGGCGCGGGAGCACGCGGAGCUGGAGGAGAUGAAGCGCCUGAUCCAGCAGAACUCCCGCAACCGGCAGCUGGCAGAGACCCAGGAUGAUGUGGAGCCACGGCUGAGACCUCACCCCCUGAAGAGAACUUUCCAGCAGGGGUCUGCCCGCCGCAGAGUCAGCAUCGCCGUCAUCCCCAGG